AAUAUAUAUAUAUAUAUAUAUAGGUUGAAGAAAAAGUACAAAACACCCCAACAGCCGUGGGCUUUGCCCUCAAGGAUAUCCACUGCCACCUUAGAGUCCGAAUGAACAGAAACCUUUUGUAGCCCCUUUUCCUUACAAAG